rnacentral:rRNA from 1 species
UAUGGUAAUUGUGCCGCCGCGGUAAUACGUAGGUGGCAAGCGUUGUCCGGAAUUAUUGGGCGUAAAGAGCAUGUAGGCGGGCUUUUAAGUCCGACGUGAAAAUGCGGGGCUUAACCCCGUAUGGCGUUGGAUACUGGAAGUCUUGAGUGCAGGAGAGGAAAGGGGAAUUCCCAGUGUAGCGGUGAAAUGCGUAGAUAUUGGGAGGAACACCAGUGGCGAAGGCGCCUUUCUGGACUGUGUCUGACGCUGAGAUGCGAAAGCCAGGGUAGCAAACGGG